rnacentral:misc_RNA from 1 species
GAAAUGCGAUAAGUAAUGUGAAUUGCAGAAUUCAGUGAAUCAUCGAAUCUUUGAACGCACCUUGCGCCCUUUGGUAUUCCGAGGGGCAUGCCUGUUUGAGUGUCUUGAAAACAUCAAACCCACCGGCUUUGCGGUCGGUUCGGUUUGGACUUGGGGGUUCUUUGCUGCCGCUUGCGGUGGCUCCCCUUAAAUGAAUCGGUCGGGCUUUCGUGUGGCUUGUCCCUUGGCGUUGUAUUACCCUCGUCGCUGGACGGCCCGCGUGUUUGCGCCCCUCCUUGACUUGCCUUUGGAGUGGCGGUCAAUUGCUUUGUGAUCUGACCUCAAAUCAGGUAGGACUACCCGCUGAACUUAA